rnacentral:rRNA from 1 species
CGCAUCUGUGCAUGCAGCAUAUCAAUAAGCGGAGGAAAAGAAACUAACAAGGAUUCCCUCAGUAACGGCGAGUGAAGCGGGAAGAGCUCAAAUUUGAAAUCUUCAAGGUUUUACCUUGACGAAUUGUAGUUUAAAGAAGUGUUUUCUGCUGAAGUUUUGGUAAAAGUUCUUUGGAAUAGGACAUCAUAGAGGGUGAGAAUCCCGUCUAUGAUUGCGAUUUGUAGCUUUGUGAUACACUUUCAAAGAGUCGGGUUGUUUGGGAAUGCAGCCCAAAACGGGAGGUAAAUUUCUUCUAAGGCUAAAUAUUGGCGAGAGACCGAUAGCGAACAAGUACCGUGAGGGAAAGAUGAAAAGAACUUUGAAAAGAGAGUUAAAUAGUACGUGAAAUUGUCAAAAGGGAAGCGUUUAACACCAGUGUUGUUUUCUGAAAAUCAACCUCUGUUAGCUUUAUGCAUGUUUGUUUAGACCUAAUCAGCUAUCUUUCAUGUUCUAUUUGUUUGCAGUGGUGCACUUUUUCAGUUUACAGGUCAACAUCAGUUUUUUUAUACCGUAAAAAAGUUAAAGAAAGGUAGCUCAUGGCUCCGGUCGUGAGUGUUAUAGUCUUUUUCCUAUGCGGUAGGAGAGACUGAGGUCUGCAGUGUAGGCUAUUUGGCUAGAUACUCAGGCUGCUAUGUGAUACCAUUUCAUAAACAACUUGUUGAUUAUGUUUUGUCUAUUGCAUACUCGCUUGUACUAUCAUACCUACGCUUAGGAUGUUGACGAUCAGCUGAGCGCG